rnacentral:rRNA from 1 species
AACGAACGCUGGCGGCAGGCCUAACACAUGCAAGUCGAGCGAGGACUUCGGUUCUAGCGGCGGACGGGUGAGUAACGCGUGGGAAUGUGCCCUUCUCUACGGAAUAGCCCUGGGAAACUGGGAGUAAUACCGUAUACGCCCUAUUGGGGAAAGAUUUAUCGGAGAAGGAUCAGCCCGCGUUGGAUUAGGUAGUUGGUGGGGUAAUGGCCUACCAAGCCGACGAUCCAUAGCUGGUUUGAGAGGAUGGUCAGCCACACUGGGGCUGAGACACGGCCCAGACUCCUACGGGAGGCAGCAGUGGGGAAUCUUAGACAAUGGGGGCAACCCUGAUCUAGCCAUGCCGCGUGAGUGAUGAAGGCCUUAGGGUUGUAAAGCUCUUUCAGCUGGGAAGAUAAUGACGGUACCAGCAGAAGAAGCCCCGGCUAACUCCGUG